GCCCGGAUGGCGAAACUGGUAGACGCAAGGGACUUAAAAUCCCUCGAUGGCAACAUCGUGCCGGUUCGAUUCCGGCUCCGGGCA
rnacentral:tRNA from 2 species